rnacentral:rRNA from 1 species
UACGAAGGGGGCUAGCGUUGUUCGGAAUUACUGGGCGUAAAGCGCACGUAGGCGGAUAUUUAAGUCAGGGGUGAAAUCCCAGAGCUCAACUCUGGAACUGCCUUUGAUACUGGGUAUCUCGAGUAUGGAAGAGGUGAGUGGAAUUCCGAGUGUAGAGGUGAAAUUCGUAGAUAUUCGGAGGAACACCAGUGGCGAAGGCGGCUCACUGGUCCAUUACUGACGCUGAGGCACGAAAGCCAGGGGAGCAAACGGG